AGAGAGAGACAUGCGCGCAUAUCAAUAAGCGGAGGAAAAGAAACUAACUAGGAUUCCCUCAGUAACGGCGAGUGAAGCGGGAAGAGCUCAAAUUUGAAAUCUUCAAGGUUCUACCUUGACGAAUUGUAGUUUAAAGAAGUGUUUUCUGUUGGAGUUUUGGUAAAAGUUCUUUGGAAUAGGACAUCAUAGAGGGUGAGAAUCCCGUAUUUGACCAUUACUUUCCAACUUUGUGAUACACUUUCAAAGAGUCGGAUUGUUUGGGAAUGCAGUCCAAAAUGGGUGGUAAAUUUCAUCUAAAGCUAAAUAUUGGCGAGAGACCGAUAGCGAACAAGUACCGUGAGGGAAAGAUGAAAAGAACUUUGAAAAGAGAGUUAAACAGUACGUGAAAUUGUCAAAAGGGAAGCGUUUGACACCAGUGUUGUUUUCUCGAAAAUCAAUUAAAAAAGGCAGGAUUUUGUGUUGUAUUGACUUUAUCAGCUUUCUGCACUCUUUUCUUGUCUUUUUUUAAUGCACUUUUCGUUUAACAAGUCAACAUCAAUUUCUUUUGUUGUAAAAGGGUCAUUGGAAGGUGGCUUUCUUUUCGGAGAAAGUGUUUAUAGCCUUUGGCCUCUGCAAUCGGAGAGAUUGAGGUCUGCAGCGUAGAUCCUUCGGGGUUAGAUACAUUUGUGCUAAGUUAUAGCCUUUCAUAGACAACUUGUUGACUAUGAUCAGUCAUGUAGCUUACUCGCUUAUGCUAUUUUACCUACGCUUAGGAUGUUGAUGUGAUACUGCGAGCA
rnacentral:rRNA from 1 species